GCCUGACCUUAACAAGACAAUUAAACUACUAAUUGUUCGCCAAACUACUAUGAGUGAAAACUUAAAAUUUAAAAGACUUGACGGUACUUCAUAACAUCCUAGAGGAGCCUGUCUAAUAACCGAUAACCCACGAUUAACCCAACCCACUCUGGCCCAACAGUCUAUAUACCGCCGUCGCCAGCUUACCUUAUGAAAGAAACAAAGUAAGCCCAAGAACACCCCACUAGCACGACAGGUCGAGGUGUAACUAAUGAGGGGGAACAAGAUGGGCUACAUUUUCUUAACCAGAAAAAACGAACAGACUAUGAAACUAGAAACUGAAGGUGGAUUUAGCAGUAAGAUAGGAACAUACUACCUAACUGAAACCAACGCAAUGAAGUGCGUACACACCGCCCGUCAUCCCUGCAAAAUAUACAACACCAUACAUAAAUAAACGUCCUUAAACCAAGCAGGGCAAGUCGUAACAUGGUAAGCGUACUGGAAAGUGUGCUUAGAAA
rnacentral:rRNA from 1 species